rnacentral:lncRNA from 1 species
GGCUCAUUUUGGCAUAUAUUAUUGAUAGAGAAGGGUCAGAGAUCUGCAGCAGGCCCUGUCUGCAUGAAGAACACUGGACACUGUGCAGACAUGAGUGCAAACACAUAUGCACACACAUAGUAUUGAUUCAUUUUAGUCUCAGUCAAAUCCUCUAUGAAACCAUAUUUUCAAUUAAUAAUUCAUGAUGUGAAGGGAUGGAUGAGGAAAAGGAUCACGCUGAAACGGAGACAGGCACCAAACUGAUGGAGGAAGAGGAAAUAUCAUUAUGGAUGGAGGGGCCCCAGGGUCAAUAUCAAGACACGUGUGUCCCUGACUGGCCGGACGACUUUUGAUGAAAGCACAUAUGCAACAAAGGCCUUGCAGGAUAAAUGAGAAAGUAUC